rnacentral:rRNA from 1 species
UACGGAGGGUGCGAGCGUUGUCCGGAAUCACUGGGCGUAAAGGGCGCGUAGGCGGCCUGAUAAGUAGGGGGUGAAAUCUUGCGGCUUAACCGCAAGGCUGCCUUCUAAACUGUCGGGCUAGAGCACAGUAGAGGCAGGUGGAAUUCCCGGUGUAGCGGUGGAAUGCGUAGAGAUCGGGAAGAACAUCAGUGGCGAAGGCGGCCUGCUGGGCUGUUGCUGACGGCUGAGGCGCGAAAGCGUGGGGAGCAAACGGG